ensembl:lncRNA
AGUCUCUCACCCUGGAUAAAGGACAAGCCCACUGCUCACUCUGUCCUUUUCUUGCUUUCCUUUCUCCUGGGGUAGGACUUCAUGCUCCACUCUGUGUAAUGUAGGCAGCUGCAGAAGUUUUCUUGCAAGAAAGGAGCCACCAAACAGCUCUGCCCCAGCCUGCCAGCCCACAUUCAACAUCCUCAACCUGGGGCAGUAACACAUUCUCAGGGACUAUUUUGGAGCCACAGAUAUGCCCUGACCAGGAAUUGUGGUCCCAUACCUUUGCAUCUGUGCCAGCCCCAAGUAGAGGCCCUUCCCACAGCCCCUUGAUGAGCCAAGGAAGAGAAGCCUCUCUAGUUUUAUGGAGGAGGGCUCAGAGACCCAUUUACUAACCCUUAUAUAUAUAUCUCAUGUGCAAGAGAAGAGGGGACCACAGUGAUGUUCGGCUUGUGUUGCCACAUCUUCCUCCCACAUCCAAUAACCAAGAAAGCCCCCACAUCUCACCAGACAGAAGUACUUGAGAGCUACUGCAGGGAGCUACCAGGGAAGGGCUCUGUAUGAUGCUGAAGGAGAUUUAGGUUUGGGAAGCACAGUGGCAUAGAAAUUGCCAUCAACCACACAGAGAAGAGACAAGGAAUCAGCCCAGACUUCUGGCCAGCAAACGUGGUCUCCUGUCUUCACGGAGAAAAAAUCAAACCUUACUUAGUGAGCAGUCACUGUCACUGUGAAGGUGGGCAUCAAGGAGCUGGUGCAGGCAGGGAGGUGCCAGGGAUGAUCUGCUGGGCUGUGACUGAACGUGGUGCUAAAGGCAAGGCUCCGUCCCGCUGGGUGAGGAACAUCUUUCCCAAACAUAAUACUAACAGAGGCUUUGCGUUAUCUUAAGUCUUAAGUCUUAGGUUAAUUUGAAUUUGCUGUUCUAGAAUGUGAUAUCGUUGUUUCCUUUUAGAGAGUUUUCUCUUACAGCUACAUGGCUGGUUUGUAUUCUGAGAGCUCAGCUACACGAUACCACAGCUUUUGAGGGGAUCUCAGGGAUUAAUGUACUAAAUUUCUGCCUUAAAUUGUACUAUCUGCUUUUUUUAUUCACUCUGAUAUAAGGCAUUUCUCCAAGAAGAUGAUUUCCCUUCCUGCUCACCAUCCCAUCCUUUGCCCAAGGAGGCUGUGGAUGCCCCAUCCCUGGAAGCAUUCAAGGCCAGGCUGGAUGUGGCUCUGGGCAGCCUGGUCUGCUGGUUGGUGACCCUGCACAUAGCAGGGGGGGGUUGGAACUGGAUGAGCAUUGUGGUCCUUUUCAACCCAGGCCAUUCUGUGAUGACUUCAAAUACAUUUCACAGAGACUCGAAGAUGCUGAAUGGUGGCAG